rnacentral:rRNA from 1 species
UGGGGAAUAUUGGACAAUGGGCGAAAGCCUGAUCCAGCAAUGCCGCGUGUGUGAUGAAGGCCUGCGGGUUGUAAAGCACUUUCGUUGGGGAAGAAAUGGUUGAGGGUAAUAUCCUCAAUAGUUGACGUUACCCAAAGAAGAAGCACCGGCUAACUCUGUGCCAGCAGCCGCGGUAAUACAGAGGGUGCAAGCGUUAAUCGGAGUUAUUGGGCGUAAAGGGCGCGUAGGUGGAUAUCUAAGUCAAUUGUGAAAUACCCGGGCUUAACCUGGGAAUUGCAUUUGAUACUGGAUGUCUAGAGUAUGGGAGAGGAAAGCGGAAUUCCCGGUGUAGCGGUAAAAUGCGUAGAUAUCUGGAAGAACACCAGUGCGAAGGCGGCUUUCUGGACCAAUACUGACACUGAGGCGCGAAAGCGUGGGGAGCAAACAGG